UAAAAGAGCCAGGGCGCAUCUGAAAGAAAAAUAAAUGAUGCCAAUGGUUGCAACACUAAGAAGAGAAAGAGGGGUUGAAGGGAGAAGAAGGAAAUUGGAAAAAAGAAGAAGCAGCAAAGUAUAUUAUGUCCAGACAUGUGCUGACCUGACAGGGCUUUUGGUCUUUACUAUGUGUAAGGCCCUUGCAAGAAAACAAGCCUGACUUGAUCUACUGAGAUCCAGUUUUCCUUGUUCUUGGAAAAUUUCUACUGACUUGGAGCAACUGGGAAACUGUGUCCUUGAGAUGACCUCUGAGUGAAACAUGCCUGUGAAUUCAACCUCUCCAUCUAGGAAUGGACCUUUGCUAGAGAGCUUAUGGCCAUGUCUGCAAUUUUGGGGACAGUAAUUUGCUGUGUGACCUCAUUUCACUGAUGGAUCUAAGAAGAGUUGUUCAUUCUUCAGUUUGUUCAGCUUUUUAAUUGUUAGAAUGACACACAAGACCCAGAAUUGGAAGUGUUCAAAAGUACAAGUAUUGAAAUCACAUAAUCAACAGAGAGAAUGUAAACAGACUUUCUUUAUUUCUGUUUCUGUCUCUAUGUCUCUUUCUUUCUCCUUUGAACUUCAGAAUGUCUAAGGAAUCUAUUUAAACAUGGCUCAUAAAUGUAAGGGGAUAGGCAAUAUUCAACCCCCCCUUUAGGCCUUGUGAUUUUUGAGACUACUCUCCUUGGUGGCUGACCUGGCUCAGAGCAGGUUAAGAGAGUAUAAGUGAGGAAUCCCAGAAGGCUAAAUAUGGUAGUGUGAUUUUAAAAAUACAGUGAACGUUAUUGCCUGGUAAUAGCAGAAGGGUAGAGAUCGUCAAUACAAGAAGCAGUGCAUUGCCUUCAGAAACACAAAUUUCAAAUUGCUUCGUGCACUCAGUAGGCUGUGAGCUACAGGUGAGAGGUGUGUUUUAAAGUGUGCUAAACUUUAAAUCAUGGAUUAUGAGUAACAUUAACAUGAAAUUUUAUUUCAAGAUGUAAAAAACGUGCUCAUUGAAACUUGGGUCUGUGGUUGUGAUUCUGAGAUCAAGGUUCAGAGUUUUCAGUGGAAAUUCCCCAGUUUUCCCUAUUUAAAAAAAGCACGACAAUCAAGAUCCAGUAUCAAGGUGAUGCUGAUCAUGUUUCUGACUUUGAUGGAAAUAUGUGGGCUGAGUCUGCACCCAGGAACACCACCGUGAACUCUGAGUAUUAUAAAGGCUAAUUAAAAUGUUUGAGAAAUGAUGUAUGUAAAAAACUGUUUCAUCCUCCAUCAAAACAAUGUUCUGUGUUAUUUUUUUCUUUUGCACGAAAAUUUCUGUCAAAUAAAAACAUUACAGUGAA